rnacentral:rRNA from 1 species
UACGAAGGGGGCUAGCGUUGUUCGGAAUUACUGGGCGUAAAGCGCACGUCGGCGGCUCAGCAAGUCAGGGGUGAAAUCCCGGGGCUCAACCCCGGAACUGCCCUUGAAACUGCUAAGCUAGAAUCUUGGAGAGGCGAGUGGAACUCCGAGUGUAGAGGUGAAAUUCGUAGAUAUUCGGAAGAACACCAGUGGCGAAGGCGACUCGCUGGACAAGUAUUGACGCUGAGGUGCGAAAGCGUGGGGAGCAAACAGG